rnacentral:tRNA from 1 species
GCGGGAGUAGCUCAGUUGGUAGAGCGCUAGCCUUCCAAGCUGGAUGUCGCGGGUUCGAGCCCCGUCUCCCGCUCCA